rnacentral:lncRNA from 1 species
UUUCAGCAACUUGGAUGCAGUGGAGCAUCUGGAAGGGACUACAUGUUUCAGAAAAAAGAGAAGAACAGAAAGAUGGGCCUUGGAUAAUUAACCACUAUUUUGAGUAAUUAAAACCACUUCUACAUAUUCAGAACCCAACCAUCAUUAGGGGUACUUCAAGAACAAGCUGUAAGAUUUGGAGCUCCAUCACUUCACUUAGCCCCUUCUAGCCAGAGAUGCUGAAGAAAAGUACGCUGCGGAGACUUUGUUUGAAAAAUGUAUUUCUUGUACAGAUCAUUAGGACUGAGCAGGUUGACUUGUUGACAAACACAUGGAUUAAAAAUACUGCUAUAGCUG